rnacentral:rRNA from 1 species
GAUGAACGCUGGCGGCGUGCCUAAUACAUGCAAGUCGAGCGAAUGGAUUAAGAGCUUGCUCUUAUGAAGUUAGCGGCGGACGGGUGAGUAACACGUGGGUAACCUGCCCAUAAGACUGGGAUAACUCCGGGAAACCGGGGCUAAUACCGGAUAACAUUUUGAACCGCAUGGUUCGAAAUUGAAAGGCGGCUUCGGCUGUCACUUAUGGAUGGACCCGCGUCGCAUUAGCUAGUUGGUGAGGUAACGGCUCACCAAGGCAACGAUGCGUAGCCGACCGGAGAGGGGGGUCGGCCACACUGGGACUGAGACACGGCCCAGACUCCUACGUGAGGCAGCAGUAGGGAAUCUUCCGCAAUGGACGAAAGUCUGACGGAGCAACGCCGCGUGAGUGAUGAAGGCUUUCGGGUCGUAACACUCUGUUGUUAGGGAAGAACAAGUGCUAGUUGAAUAAGCUGGCACCUUGACGGUACCUAACCAGAAAGCCACGGCUAACUACGUGCCAGCCGCCGCAGUAA